AGGGACUGUUGCAUAGGAUAAGGAAAAGCCAAUGGGGCUCCGAACCCAUUUCCUGUGUGGACCUAGUCUCAAGGUUGCAGGUCCCCACCCUGCUCCACUUCCCCAAGCUGCUGCCAUGGACACCCAGGCCCAGAUGGCUGCAGAUGCCUCCACUGAGGGCAGCCGGGCCCAGGGGAGUCAGAAGAUGCCUGUGCUCUCUGCUGGAUCCCUACCACCAGGCCUGGGCUGCUUCAGGACACUGCCCAGCCACCCAGGGUCGCCACGGUCUCAUUCUAUGAGACCCACUGGAAAGCAGCUGAGCUCCCUACCCACUGUGUAGUUGUGACUAACUGACUCAGCCUCUGCGCCUCUGUUUCCCCAGGAAUGGUGUUUGUGUUGGCAUUUGUGGUCCCUGUGUCAACUGCCAACUGCCACGGCAUGUGACACUGUCAGGGGACUGUAGGUGUGAGGAAGGACUCAGCUGGAGGGCUCGUGCCACCUCACCUCCAGGAAAGCACACCUGUUGGGAGAGCCAAAGUCACUGGGAACCUUCAGUGCAGUGGAGGAGCCCGGGCCAUGUGUUUACAGCUCUUCGUGUCUCUGCGGUCUGGGGAGGCGCCUGGCAGAGGUGAAACGGACGUGGACAGCCAGGCCUCCAUGCCCCGCUCACUUGGCCCUAAGCUUCCAGAAGACUUUCGGUGGAGCAAGGGGGGCACAGAAGCCUCCUGUCCUCUGUCACUCACUGCCCCAUGGCCACUGUGACUGGCAUGUCCUUGGUGUGCGGUGUACGGGUCCUUGGCAAGGUGGCCCGAGACAGCCACUCUGAGCAGGAGUCUUUGCCAGGGGCAGGGAAACAGCCAGGAGCAGCAGGUGCCAUUACCAGAGUCUGAGGUUUGCACUCAACUCCACCACAUUCACCUUUGGAGUCUGCUUUGGGCCGCUCUUGCUGCAGGGCUGAAGUUGGGGCUGGGAGCAUGGAAAAGAAUAAACUGAGUCUCGGUUCUGCUGCCUGCCUUGC
rnacentral:lncRNA from 1 species